AUUUAAGGUAUUUGCUCUGUCUUUCUCUCUUUAUUUUCUACUUCUUUGGAUAUAAUGAGAAUGGGAAGCGUAACUGUUUCUCCUAUGAGAUCUCUGAACCAAGAGAAAAAUCAAUAAAGAGGGAUUUUAUCUACAAUUACUUUUAAUUUUGCUUUUUGUAAUCGACUUAGGGUUCUUAAUUUUCGAUUCUGGGCUCAACAAUAGUCACUGAUUGAUUAUAUUACUCCUCCGUUUCUCUCUGUCAUCGUACCUGGAGAGGGAUCGCUGUCAAUUUCAUUCAUUCAAUAACCUAAAUUCCAAAUCUGAAGGUAACCUUUUUCUUAAUUUCAUCUUAUUUCUGAAUGACUUUUUUUGUUUUUAAAAAUUCACAUUGUUAGAUGAUAUGCAAUUUAUUUGCCAUGUUUCCACGUCGUAGGACUGAUGAGUGUUUGGUUUACAAAAGUGUCGCAUGAGAUAGUCUGUCAACCUAUCUGAUAUCAUUCCCAACUCUAUCUUGGAAGCCAUUGAUUUAAUCAUUUCUACAAGAUUUGUUGCGAUAGUAUUUCACAUGAGUUUUCAUGGAACAUAAGCUGAUCGAUAUACGUGGUUGCUCAAUCAGCUUAAGUAUGGAUUAGAUUUAAGUUAUUUAGUUUUUCUUAGUAACCUUCAUACCAACAAACAAAUUGUAAACAAUGUAAUUAUAUUAAUAUAUUAUUUUAUAGAUUAUUGUGUUUAUUGUGGUUUCA